AGUGAACGCUGGCGGUAGGCCUAACACAUGCCAGUCGAACGGCAGCACAGUAAGAGCUUGCUCUUACGGGUGGCGAGUGGCGGACGUGUGAGGAAUACAUCGGAAUCUACUUUUUCGUGUGGGUUCACGUAGGGAAACCUACGCUAAUACCGCAUACGACCUACGGUUGAAAGCAGUGGAUCUUCUGAGCUUGCGCGAAUGAAUGAGCCGAUGUCGGAUUAGCUAGUUGGCGGGGUAAAGGCCCACCAAGGCGACGAUCCGUAGCUGGUCGGAGAGGAGGGUCGGCCACACUGGAACGGAGACACGGACCAGACUACUACGAGAGGCAGCAGAGGGGAAUGUUGGACAAUGGGCGCAAGCCUGAUCCAGCCAUACCGCGUGGGUGAAGGAGACCUUCGGGUUGUGAAGCCCUUUUGUUGGGAAAGAAAAGCAGCAGGUUAAUACCCAGCUGUUCUGACGGUACCCAAUGAAUAAGCACCGGCUAACUUCGUG
rnacentral:rRNA from 1 species